rnacentral:rRNA from 1 species
ACGGAGGGUGCAAGCGUUAAUCGGAUUUACUGGGCGUAAAGCGUGCGUAGGUGGUUUGUUAAGUCAGUUGUGAAAUCCCAGGGCUCAACCUUGGAAUUGCAUCUGAUACUGGCAGACUAGAGAUCGGUAGAGGUUAGUGGAAUUCCAGGUGUAGCGGUGAAAUGCGUAGAUAUCUGGAGGACAUCGAUGCGAAGCG